rnacentral:rRNA from 1 species
CGCUGGCGGCGUGCCUAACACAUGCAAGUCGAGCGAGGAGAUCCUUCGGGAUGAUCCUAGCGGCGGACGGGUGAGUAACACGUGGGCAACCUGCCUCAUAGAGAGGAAUAGCCUUCCGAAAGGGAGAUUAAUACCUCAUAACAUUGCAGUUUCGCAUGGAACAGCAAUUAAAGGAGUAAUCCGCUAUGAGAUGGGCCCCGCGGCGCAUUAGCUAGUUGGUGAGGUAAUGGCUCACCAAGGCGACGAUGCGUAGCCGACCUGAGAGGGUGAUCGGCCACAUUGGGACUGAGACACGGCCCAGACUCCUACGGGAGGCAGCAGUGGGGAAUAUUGCACAAUGGGGGAAACCCUGAUGCCAGCAACGCCGCGUGAGUGAUGACGGCCUUCGGGUUGUAAAGCUCUGUCUUCAGGGACGAUAAUGACGGUACCUGAGGAGGAAGCCACGGCUAACUACGUGCCAGCCGCCGC